CAACUUGAGAGUUUGAUCCUGGCUCAGAACGAACGCUGGCGGCAGGCUUAACACAUGCAAGUCGAACGCAUCCUUCGGGGUGAGUGGCAGACGGGUGAGUAAAGCGUGGGAACGUGACCUUCAGUUUGGAAUAGCCCAUGGAAACUUGGGCUA
rnacentral:ncRNA from 1 species